rnacentral:rRNA from 1 species
CACGUAGGAGGCGAGCGUUGUCCGGAAUCAUUGGGCGUAAAGAGCGCGCAGGCGGCUUGGCAAGUCGGGUGUGAAAUCCCGGGGCUCAACCCCGGGACUGCAUUCGAUACUGUCAGGCUAGAGGUAGGUAGGGGAGAUCGGAAUUCCUGGUGUAGCGGUGAAAUGCGCAGAUAUCAGGAGGAACACCGGUGGCGAAGGCGGAUCUCUGGGCCUGAUCUGACGCUGAGGCGCGAAAGCUAGGGGAGCGAACAGG